GACGAACGCUGGCGGCGUGCCUAAUACAUGCAAGUAGAACGCACAGUUUAUACCGUAGCUUGCUCCACCAUAAACUGUGAGUUGCGAACGGGUGAGUAACGCGUAGGUAACCUGCCUGGUAGCGGGGGAUAACUAUUGGAAACGAUAGCUAAUACCGCAUAAUAUUAAUUAUUGCAUGAUAAUUGAUUGAAAGAUGCAAUUGCAUCACUACCAGAUGGACCUGCGUUGUAUUAGCUAGUAGGUGAGGUAACGGCUCACCUAGGCGACGAUACAUAGCCGACCUGAGAGGGUGAUCGGCCACACUGGGACUGAGACACGGCCCAGACUCCUACGGGAGGCAGCAGUAGGGAAUCUUCGGCAAUGGACGAAAGUCUGACCGAGCAACGCCGCGUGAGUGAAGAAGGGUUUCGGAUCGUAAAGCUCUGUUGUAAGAGAAGAACGGGUGUGAGAGUGGAAAGUUCACACUGUGACGGUAGCUUACCAGAAAGGGACGGCUAACUACGUG
rnacentral:rRNA from 1 species